rnacentral:rRNA from 1 species
AUUGAACGCUGGCGGAAUGCUUUACACAUGCAAGUCGAACGGUAGAGGGGGCAACCCCUCGAGAGUGGCGAACGGGUGAGUAAUAUAUCGGAACGUGCCCAGUCGUGGGGGAUAACGUAGCGAAAGUUACGCUAAUACCGCAUACGAUCUAAGGAUGAAAGCGGGGGAUCGCAAGACCUCGCGCGAUUGGAGCGGCCGAUAUCAGAUUAGGUAGUUGGUGGGGUAAAGGCUCACCAAGCCAACGAUCUGUAGCUGGUCUGAGAGGACGACCAGCCACACUGGAACUGAGACACGGUCCAGACUCCUACGGGAGGCAGCAGUGGGGAAUUUUGGACAAUGGACGCAAGUCUGAUCCAGCCAUUCCGCGUGCAGGAUGAAGGCCCUCGGGUUGUAAACUGCUUUUGUACGGAACGAAAAGGUCUCUCUUAAUACGGGGGACUCAUGACGGUACCGUAAGAAUAAGCACCGGCUAACUACGUGCCAGCCGCCGCAGUAA